rnacentral:rRNA from 1 species
GACGAACGCUGGCGGCGUGCUUAACACAUGCAAGUCGAACGGAAAGGCCCUGCUUGCAGGGUACUCGAGUGGCGAACGGGUGAGUAACACGUGGGUGAUCUGCCCUGCACUUCGGGAUAAGCCUGGGAAACUGGGUCUAAUACCGGAUAGGAGCCAUUUUUAUUGUGAUGGUUGGAAAGUUUUUUCGGUGUAGGAUGAGCUCGCUGCCUUUCAGCUUGGUGGUGGGGUAAUGGCCUAACAAGGCGGCGACGGGUAGCCGGCCUGGGGGGGUGGACGGCCAACAUGGGGACUGGGAACGGCCCAGACCCCUACGGGGGGGAGGAGUGGGGAAUAUUGCAAAAUGGGGGGAAGGCUGAUGCAGCGAAGCCGCGUGGGGGAUGACGGCCUUCGGGGUGGAAACUCCUUUCGCCAGGGACGAAGCUUUUUGUGACGGUACCUAGAUAAGAAGCACCGGCUAACUACGUG